rnacentral:rRNA from 1 species
GACGAACGCUGGCGGCGUGCCUAAUACAUGCAAGUAGAACGCUGAAGGAGGAGCUUGCUCUUCUGGAUGAGUUGCGAACGGGUGAGUAACGCGUAGGUAACCUGCCUGGUAGCGGGGGAUAACUAUUGGAAACGAUAGCUAAUACCGCAUAACAGUAGGUGUUGCAUGACAUUUACUUAAAAGGUGCAAUUGCAUCACUACCAGAUGGACCUGCGUUGUAUUAGCUAGUUGGUGGGGUAACGGCUCACCAAGGCGACGAUACAUAGCCGACCUGAGAGGGUGAUCGGCCACACUGGGACUGAGACACGGCCCAGACUCCUACGGGAGGCAGCAGUAGGGAAUCUUCGGCAAUGGACGGAAGUCUGACCGAGCUACGCCGCGUGAGUGAAGAAGGGUUUCGGAUCGUAAAGCUCUGUUGUAAGAGAAGAACGAGUGUGAGAGUGGAAAGUUCACACUGUGACGGUAUCUUACCAGAAAGGGACGGCUAACUACGUG